GGCGGCGGCGGGCGGGCGGGCGGACUGUGGCAGGCCGAGCCCUCCUGGCCUGGCCGGAGGCGCGGACGGCGUCGCUAAGCGGCCGGACUGGAGGGGUGGGGCGGGGACUUGUCGGCGACUGCCACGCCGGGGCGCCUCAGGCUGCUGCGGUGGUGGUGGCGGCGGCCAAGGCAGCCUUUGCGUCGGAUCCUGAGCUGGGCCUCUGGCUGCGGUCGAGGCAUGAGGAGCCGGCUGAGGCGAGGCGGGCGUGACGGGCUGGACACAUGGCUGGCUCGGGUGGCCGGCCGCCCUCUGGCUCAUUCCCAGCUCGUUCCUCGCGCCCAGAAGGGGGCGAAGCUCACCGGGAGGUUUCUCAGACGUUUCCGGGAGCGUUCUCGCCGGCGCCGGGCUUGCAGGGGCUCCUGGGAAUGCAGAGCUGGUCCGCUGGGGGCUGCCCAGCUUGUCGCUUGUCGCUUCCCUGGGCUGAUCAGUGACCUGCACAACUUUCUCUGCUCCGGCUGAGUGCUGGGAAACGCUUUCAGAGGCGACCCCCGCCCCUGGCAGGGCGAGGGUGGUGCGGGAUACCCAGGGGAGUCUGAUUCACUGCUCUUCUGCUCUAAUAAUGCCUCGGUUGGGGAGGAAGGGCGAUGGAGUGCCAAGUGUCAGGUGGAGCGCAUCCUUCUAGGUAGAGCUGCACCACUCAUUUCUUGACUGACCUUGGCCGAGUCCCUUAACCUUUAGAUACUGAGUUUCUUCCCAUUCAUGAAAUUAGGCCACAGGGGUGCCGUGACAGUCCAGUGAGACAGCGUACGACAGAGUGCCUUGAAACGUGCCAAGCUCUAUAUCAGCUCGCUGAGAGUUGGUUUCUUUUUUUGCCAUGUUUUUGGGGGACCACCCCUUGGAAAACAGCCUUAUUAUGUGGAUAUUUUAUUGUACUGUCUUCAGUUUCAUUCAUUCUUUCUAAAUUUCUGCAACUUUUAUAUUUUAGUGAGUAUUUUAAAGGCUUCUUAAAAGGUCCGCGGUAACUUCCUAUGCCAGUUAAUAAUUGUCUUUUGGUAUACUACUGAAUUUGCCAGCUUUAGUGAGGUUUUUUUUUUUAACGUAAAAAGAAGUCCCUCUUUAAAGUAGAAAUUCAGUUAUUUUAUGCUCUCUUAGCUGGUAGGUAAAUCAUUUAAACAUGUUAUUUAUAUUGACUUUGAAAAGCUGCAAGAAUAUUCCUAAUUGAACAUCUUGGAUGUACAAUGCUGUUUUAGAGAUCCCUGCCCUCAAAGAACUUAUAUUUUAAGACGACCACCCACAGAGUUUAGACAAAUUAACUGUAAAAUUAUUUCAAAAUAAAAAGUUGAAUAUUUUAUAUGUAAAUGAAACCAUUAUUAGAUCAUACCAAGAGUGAUGCUCAAAUUCUUAUGCUCAAAGUCACCUUGGGAGGAGCUUAGAUUUCUUUUGGAUAUAAAAUAGUGAGUUGAAACAGAUUCUCACUUUGAACCAUUGCUAAACUAUGGAGGGAAUUAUGGAUCACUUUUUAUUUUGUUUUGUGAUGGACACAGGUUAAGAUGACAUUAUUUUGUUUGUGAAAUAUUAAUGCAUGUAUAGCCUAGACAUCCUAAAAGUUUAGCCGUUGUGAUUUCUACCAUGACUUUGCUCUAAUAGCACAUUAUUUUGACUAAACAUACUUGUGUGUAAUUAUUAAUUUUAAAAAUUAUUAAAGAGUUGGUUCCCUCGUAGAAAAAUUGGAUAAAUAAUACUUCCUGCAAAUUUGAAAUUCAUUUAUUCCUCAAGUAGGUAUUGAAUGCCGAGUUAUAUUCGCUAAUAUAUCUUCUAAUAGAAGCCUGGGAUAAGUAUUUCACAAGCUGGUUUUUGGAAGAUAAAUAAUCAAAAUAGUAUUCAAAGCAUUUUUUACUUGACUGUUGAGCUGCUGUUAGAGUUUUGGAAUACUCUGUAGUAGUGAACACUGCUUAUCUUUUCUGCCAAAGAAAAUUUGGUAUCUGGCCUAUAUUUCUGUGAUUGUUAGCUUUUUACAUUUUGCAGAUUUCAUUCAAUUAUUGCACCUAGAUUUUUUAGUAAUUUUCCUAACGUAACUUUUCUAUUAAUUAGAAUAUUCUCAUCUCUAAUCUUCGUUCUAUUUUAAUGAAGUGCUUCUAUUUGAAUACUUCUUGCUUUGACUUUCUUGUGGCAGAACCUUGAUUUAGGAAGUAGAUCCCAGAUCAGUCUUGAAACUUGACUAGUAAGAAUGAGGAAGUAACAUUUUAUUUCUGGCAGACUUUUCUUGCUUUGGGUAACUUGCUUUGGCUAAGAUAGUAUGAACCAAUCAUUCCAUGUCUCAUUCAACUGAAGCUAUAAUUUGGUUCAUUUAGUUAAAAAGAAAAAGAUAUUGACAUUUGAAUGAAUCUCUUCAGCUAAGUCAAGUAAUCAAUCAAUAACUGUAAAAAUUGUAGAUGUUAUCUAAGUAUUGUAGUGCAGAUAUUAAAAAACAAAAAAAAGUGCUCUUGCCUCAGAGUGAUUGCCCUUAACUCUUCCAUCUGUUUGGAGCCCCUUUUACUCAGUUAUCUCCCAGACUUGUUCUGUCACUUCCCUCUCUCACUGUUCAACUGUCUCCAUAUCACUGAGGAGAUCCCUGACUGACAUGCUCCCUAGCUCCCUUCGCUUAUUUAUUUUUCUCUAUAGCACUGAUUUAUCAUACAUUUUUUACUUAUUGUUCUCUCCAGUAUAAUUUUUGAGUUUGGGGGGGGUCAGGAAUUUUUGUCUUUUGUUAUUGCAGUUCUUCCAUUUGUCAGUGUUAGGCUUUACUGACUUCUUUUUAUAAUAGAUAACUGUAUAGGCUGUAGCUCUAUUAUGCCACCCUCACCUCACAGAUUUUUAGGGUAUUUAUAUAUUUUUUAUAUUACAUAUAGAUAAAAUUAAGAAAGUCCCAUUAGAUGCUAGAGACCACAUCGAGGACUCUUUUUGGCAGAUAUUUUCAAGAUACAUCUGACUUAGUAUUCCCUACUGAGUUACUCCGUAAUAUAUUAUGAAUUUUGAUCCUUUUUUUUAGAACUGCUGUUAUAAUUUUGGAACCCACUGUCAUGUCCCCAUUUGAAGUAUCUUCAUGGAGCAAGCUUUGUCUCAAAGACUGGAGAAAACCAGUACAAGUAUUAGCAAGUACAAGUAUUCUUGGAUGUAUAAUUGAAAACCCCAUUUGCCAUUUAAUUUUUUAAUUUUUUUUUUAACUAUUGAAGAGUCUGUACUAGCUGGGGGAUCUUAGAGAAGUUAGUUCUAAGCAUCAUUUUUGUUAUGUUUAAAAUGAAAGUAGGGGCCGGCCCAGUGGUAUAACAGUUAAGUUUUCGUGCUCCGCUUCAGCAGCCUGGGAUUCGCAGGUUCAGAUCCCCGUUGUGGACUGACACACUGCUUGUCAAGCCGUGCUGUGGCCGCGUCCCAUGUAAAGUAGAGGAAGAUGGGCACGGAGGUUAGCCCAGGGCCAAUCUUCCUCAGCAAAAAGAGGAGGGUUGGCAAUGGAUGUUAGCUCAGGGCUGAUCUUCCUCACACACACACACAAAUUAUAAAAUGAAAGUGGUAAUAGUAUGUAUGUCAUUGUGUUAUGUGAGUUGAGUGAGAUCAUGCAUAUAAAAAAUUUAGGAAAGUGUUUGGCACCUACUAAGUUCUCUCCAUGUUAUUUGAACUACUACGUAAGUGCCAGUUGAUUAGCCAAUCCAAGAUGCCAUACAUUUUAUUUCCUACCUCAGUCUACUAACUUAGUAAUUGUACAUUUUGGUGGAAAAUGAUAGCACUAAUCGAGAAAGAACACAAGUGCCUGUUCUGUGGACACUGAGACCACUGGUAGAUAGCCUUAUUGUAACAUGAAAAUCAGCACAAUUAUAAGCACAGUGCCUGGCAUAUUAUAGGCUCUCAGUAAAUAGUUGUUGAACGUGAAGAGAAAUAAGAACUUGAAUAGUAGUCAGAAAUGUUGGAAUACUCAUCUUUGAAUGUUUGAAAUAGAUUUUGAUUACAAGGAUCUAUUAGCACUUCUAAUUUAAAUUCUAUACUUUGAGGUCAGUUGACUUCUGUAUAUCUAGAAGUGCAAUUUUUCAGAAUUUGUUUAGGUAAUCUAAAAUAUGUGACAUUUAGUAUUCAUUCAACAUUAAUUAUUAUGUUCCAGAGACUGAUUGCUCUUGGGGAUACAAAGACUGUCCUUUCCUACAUGUAUAUAUACACACAUACACACACACUCAGAAAUACUUGUUUCUUCUUUCGUAAGAUAAAGAUAAAACAUCUCUGAAAGUUUUUGGCAGAUUAUUAUGAAAGACAACAGUCUCUCUGCUCUCCUCCUGCUUUAGCUGCCAGUGUUCUUCAGUGGAAACCUUUCUGUAUACAAACCUUUACUCAUGCUGCUCAUCCCUCCUAUUAAGGUUUUAUCACCUAGAACUAAAUUUUUCCUAUCCAUAAGUCUUAUCAAUGCCAUCUUUUCCUACUCUGACCUUCUGUGGUACUGUGUGAAUUCAAAACUCAUCUUUUUAACACCUAAUCUUAUAUAUUCUUCCUUACAUUUUAUUUUAGCUAUUUUAAUUUUAUUUGAACUAGGUGAUUGCUGUCUCUUCCACUCUAAAAGUUCAUUGAUUUUGAACUUAUCUCCAGUGGGAAUCUUUAAAUCAAGAUUUUUUUUUUUAAACCCUUUGGUAUUAGCUGAAAGCAGACACUUAACAAAUAAUUGUUUCUGUUAUUUAAAAAUAUUUGAAAAAAAAUAUUUGCAUGCCUAUCAUGUGGCAAAUACUGCCGUUGAUGCUGGCUUUCCAAUACUGUACACAAGACAGAGUCCUGGCUCUCAUGAAGCUUACAUUUGAACUGAAGUUUUAGAUGUUAUGGCAGGAAAAAUUUUUUUGAAAUACUUAUUCUGAAUGACAGUUCCCAUUCUGGUUCAUUUAAUAGCAAAUAUCUUUGUACUAGGCACUGAGCUAAAUGGUAGAUACAAAGAAAUUCAUGAUUCCUGCCUUUCUGGAGCUGUAUAGUCAACACAGCCUUCAUAAUACACGUGGUCAGGACUAUGGUAGAGCUAUGUGUAAGUUUUAGAUGAGGAAACUAUUAAAUCUGACUUUGGUUAAGGCAGAUAUGAUCUCAGUAUCAAUAUUCUCUCCCUUUUAUGCUUGCAGCCAAGAAAAAUGCCCUAAGUGGAAUUAGAAGGCUUACCUAGAAGCCUUUUAAAUCCUCAGUUCCUGAGCUUAAUGUGCUAUAAGAUGGUUAUGUAGGCAGAAAUGACACUUUCUCACAUGCUUUAUGUAAAAAUUGGAAAGCAUUCAAGUAUUACCGCUAUUUAAUGAAAGGCAGGAAGAGGACUCAGUGAAGAGCCUCAGCUUGGUCCUGAUUCUACCACUGUGAUGACUUAACCUCAUUAUGCCUCAUAUUUCAUGUAGGUAAAAUAGAUAUAGUAUUUGCCUUUGUCAAAUUCUUUAGUAAAACAGAGGGGUUAGAAAUCCCUUGGCUCUUGAAAUUAUCCAGUUGUAUUCAUUUUAUGUAAACUCUGAUGUCGCAGUACCCUUGAGCCUCUCUCUUCCUUAUAAAUGGUGUAAAGUACAGUAGCUAAUUGCAAGUCUCUUUGGUUGCAUUCCAGUGGAGAGAAAUAAUAAAAAUUUACCUCUUAAAAAGUAAGCUUUAAAAGAUAUUGACAUUAGGUGAUUACAUUGGAAAAUGUGGGUCUAAUGGGGAAAGUGAUAUUAGAGAAAACAUAAGUUUUAAGUCUGGUUUGAGGAGCUGGUAAACAUCAAGGAGAAAAUGUCUAGCAGGCAAUUGGGAAUGUGAAACUGAAGCUUAGGAGAGAAAACAGCGAUGGAAAAGUGAUUUUUCUUCUGCAGGCGAAUUGAGAGGAAGGGAGUAUGAUCCAGAGGUGAAGGGCGGACUGGAGGGCCACACUUGGGGCCAUGCCCAUUUUUAGGACUUUGAGAAACAUGGGAAAAAGGAGACUGGAGUAUUGUCCAUAAAGUAGGAGGAAGCCAAGAAAAGGAACUUCAAAUAAGAAGGUUGCGGGUAAUUUAGUUUCCUUUUUCUUUAAAUGAAUUUCAUAAAUUUUCUACCAGUGAACAUGAAUUACUUUCGUAAUAAGUAGAAAGCUGUUAGAAAAGGAAAGGAUUAUUGACAUUUCUAAAUGAGAGAAGUUAAAACAAAAUGAAGACUUUGUGGGGGAGAAGCUUUUAAAAUAUUGGUGACGUUGGAGAAAGCAAUUUCUGAUUACAGAGUUAGUGAAUGGAAUGCUAGUAGCAGGGUGAGGAUAAGAUUGUAGGUUAAAAGGGUAUUAGUAGAGUCAGAGAAAAUUUGUUUAUAUGAGUAUAUGUGUUUUUCAUUUUUUUCUUUUGUAAAGUUAAACUUAUUUUGGGGAGGGGCAGGGGAAGCUGCCUGUGGAGUAGAAGUUUUUCAGGCCUAUUAUUACUUGUUGUAAUGAUAGUUUUCCACCUGUAAUGUUUUAUAGUGAUCUAUCCUAGAAUUACAUCCUUCCUGCUGCUUCAAGACCUUAUUUUCCUACAGCAUAGAUCUGAUCAUGUAAAAACUUUUUUUAAAAGUUCACACGAGUUCUUGAUGUGGUCACAAUUUACCUAUUCAUUUUUGUCUUUCACUAUUCUCUUUCAUUCUCCUAAUAAUCUCUUUAACAUAACCCAUACUUCUUUUCUUUUUAAAAAUCUUUUCUCCUCAUCGCUGUAGGUUUAAGUCCUUUAGGGUCUAACUCAAAAUUUUACAUAUUAGUCCAAUUAGAAUUAAUCUCCCAACCUACCUUAUAGUGGUCUUUUAUCCGUAUAGUGUCUGGCAAGGUGUAAGUACUAGUAAGUGGAGUAGAGUUAAAGGAGAUGGAGAUGGAGUUGGGGUCAUUGAAGAAUUUUGAUGAGAUGGAUUAAGGGUGAAUGUCGAAUUAUCUGGGUUGAUGACAAAUAAUGGGAAGGUAAGAAGUUGCCUAAAAAGGUAGUUUGUGUUAUGGUUAGCAGCUUUUAAAUUUGAGUAUUAGCAGUUUUUAGCUCUACUUAAUGAUGUAUAACCAGCCCUGGUGGUCUAGUGGUUAAGAUUCAGC